ACCCCUACGGAGGCAGCAGUGGGGGAUAUUGCACAAUGGGCGAAAGCCUGAUGCAGCGACGCCGCGUGGGGGAUGAAGGCUUUCGGGUUGUAAACCUCUUUCGCUACCGAACAAGGCCGCAGUUUUUGUUGUGGUUGAGGGUAGGUGGAUAAGAAGCGCCGGCUAACUACGUGCCAGCAGCCGCGGUAAUACGUAGGGCGCGAGCGUUGUCCGGAAUUAUUGGGCGUAAAGAGCUCGUAGGCGGUUUGUUGCGUCUGCUGUGAAAACGCGGGGCUUAACUCCGCGCGUGCAGUGGGUACGGGCAGGCUAGAGUGCGGUAGGGGAGAUUGGAAUUCCUGGUGUAGCGGUGGAAUGCGGCAGAUAUCAGGAGGAACACCGAUGGCGAAGGCAGAUCUCUGGGCCGUUACUGACGCUGAGGAGCGAAAGCAUGGGGAGCGAACAGGAUUAGAUACCCUGGUAGGCGUAGU
rnacentral:rRNA from 1 species